rnacentral:rRNA from 1 species
UUUUUAGUGGCGAACGGGUGAGUAACGCGUGGGAAUUUGCCUUUAGGAAGAGGAUAACAAUUGGAAACAGUUGCUAAAACUCUAUAUGCCGUUCGCGGUGAAAAAAGUAAUUUGCCUAAAGAGAAGCCCGCGUCUGAUUAGCUAGUUGGUGGGGUAAAGGCCUACCAAGGCGACGAUCAGUAGCUGGUCUGAGAGGACGAUCAGCCACACUGGAACUGAGACACGGUCCAGACUCCUACGGGAGGCAGCAGUGAGGAAUUUUCUGCAAUGGGCGAAAGCCUGACAGAGCAAUACCGCGUGAGGGAUGAAGGCCUACGGGUUGUAAACCUCUUUUCUCAAGGAGGAAGAUCUGACGUUACUUGAGGAAUAAGCAUCGGCUAACCCUGUGCCAGCAGCCGCGGUAAUACAGGGGAUGCAAGUGUUAUCCGGAAUUAUUGGGCGUAAAGCGUCUGCAGGUUGAUAUUUAAGUCUUUUGUUAAACCUCCGGGCUCAACCCGGAAUCUGCAAAGGAAACUAUCUAUCUUGAGUAUGGUAGGGGUAAAGGGAAUUUCCAGUGGAGCGGUGAAAUGCGUAGAUAUUGGAAAGAACACCAACAGCGAAGGCACUUUACUGGGCCAGUACUGACACUCAGAGACG